rnacentral:lncRNA from 1 species
CAGUUUAAGGCGACUCCACGGAGGGCCCUGGCUUAGUUGUUGCACAGCAUGGGGUCAGAUGGAUGCCCUGGAAGAGUCAGCAGAGACCCCCUGGCCUUUGGAGUUUGUCUCUGAGCGAGAGACACUGUUGGGAUGACCGGCGAGUGGCGUUGGGUCCACAUGGGGGCCCUGGUCCGGCUGAGUCUACUGAGCACAGGCCUGCCCCUUGCCACCCAGCUCUGCCCAUAUGUGGCCGUCAUUCCUGGGCUUCACCUGGGAAACGUCCUUUGAGGCAGCUCAGCUUUUCCACAGUGGGUCACGUUGUUUGCUGCUGGAGACUGGCUGAGUCUGUGCUUCCAGUAUAGGAAGGUUUAGGAGGCGGUCAGCAGGCCUCUCCUGUGGCCACUGUGCCCGAGGCAGGUGCCUGGGGUGAGAGGGAUUCUUCCGGAUGUGGCCGUGCACUGCCCAGCAGGCCUGGAGUGAACGUCUGUGUGGAGUCCGGGCUCCCAUCCAGCAUCCCUUAAGGGUCCUGAUGGCUGGAGCUGGGGGAGGCAGGUAUGGCAAGGGGCUUCCUGCACGCAGGAAAACUGGAGACCCCUGGUGAAAGAGCCAGGUGUGCACCUGCAGAGCCAGGCAUGGGUCCACAGAGCCUGUCAAGCCUGGUUUACACCACAGAGCUGGGUAUGCGCUGAGAACCAGGUGUGCACGGAGAGCCAGGUGUACACUGCAGAGCCGCGUGUGCACUGAGAGCAGGUGUGCGCUGAGAACCAGGUGUGCAGAGAGAGCCAGGUGUGCACGGAGAAUCAGGUCUGCAGAGAGAGCCAGGUGUGCACUGAGAACCAGGUGUGCACGGAGAAUCAGGUCUGCAGAGAGAGCCAGGUGUGCACUGAGAACCAAGUGUGCAGAGUCAGGUGUGCGCUGCAGAGCCGGGUGUGCACUGAGAACCAGGUGUGCAGAGAGAGUCAGGUGUGCGCUGCAGAGCCGGGUGUGCACUGAGUCAGGUGUGCAGAGAGUCAGGUGUACACUGCAGAGCCGCGUGUGCACUGAGAGCAGGUGUGCAUGGAGAGCCAGGUGUCUGUUGAGAACCAGGUGUGUGCAGAGAGCCAGGUGUGCACUGCAUAUCUAAGUGCUCAUGUGGAGUCUUGGGCUGGGCAGGUGCUGCCCAGGACCCUGGCUCUCUGGCUGUCUUCUGUGCAUUUGGGGAUGGGAGAAGGGGCUCGGCUCUGGCUGGAGGGCAGCCAGGCAGACUUGCCAGCCAGCACCGCCAGGUGAUAAGAGCUGGUGCCCACAGGUACUCAGCAAAUGUCUGCAUUUUGGGGAGGGCUGGAGAAAAUGAAGGCCAUGCCCUCUCUGCAAGGCUCCGCACAGGCCCUGUUUCCCAGUCCUUCAGCCACAGGGUGUCCCGGCAA